rnacentral:lncRNA from 1 species
CACUGUUGCAACCGUGGAGCCAUGGCACUUAAGAACGAAAUUGCUCAAAUUGGAUUGUCUAAUCAACAGCUUGUUACCAUAAAAUGAACUCAGCGGAAAUAGCAACGGGCAUUGUUGGGGUUUUUCUAUGCAAAUUUGGGAUUUGGCAAGUGAAAUUGGGAGAAAUGAGGAAGUGUGAGUGGCCAUUAACAAGCAGGUUGAGGUGAGGUGUACAACGGUUGGUUUAAAAGAAAGUGACUUAGGUUUUUUAUGAGAAUGGCUUUAAGAGUGAGUUUGGUUGAUAGGUGCCUGCUUGCAUAGACGCUAAUAAUCCUCCUUGCGCUUGCUAUGAAUCUCAAGGCCUCAAGCUACACUGCGACAGCAACU